UUGAGUUUGAUCCUGGCUCAGAAUCAACGCUGGCGGCGUGCCUCAGACAUGCAGGUCGAACGAUUAAAGCUCUCUUCGGAGAGUGCAUAGAGUGGCGCACGGGUGAGUAACACGUAAGUAAUCUACCUUCGAGUGGGGAAUAACGUCCGGAAACGGACGCUAAUACCGCAUAAUGCAGCGGCAUCGCAAGAUGACAGUUGUUAAAGAUUUAUCGCUUGAAGAGGAGCUUGCGGCAGAUUAGCUAGUUGGUAAGGUAAUGGCUUACCAAGGCUACGAUCUGUAACCGGUCUUAGAGGACGGUCGGUCACACUGACACUGAAUAACGGGUCAGACUCCUACGGGAGGCAGCAGUCGGGAAUUUUGGGCAAUGGGCGAAAGCCUGACCCAGCAACGCCGCGUGAAGGAUGAAGUAUUUCGGUAUGUAAACUUCGAAAGAAUGGGAAGAAUAAAUGACGGUACCAUUUAUAAGGUCCGGCUAACUACGUGCCAGCAGCCGCGGUAAUACGUAGGGACCAAGCGUUGUUCGGAUUUACUGGGCGUAAAGGGCGCGUAGGCGGCAAUUCAAGUCAGCUGUGAAAUCUCUGGGCUUAACCCAGAACGGCCAGCUGAUACUGCUUUGCUAGAGUGCAGAAGGGGCAAUCGGGAUUCUUGGUGUAGCGGUGAAAUGCGUAGAUAUCAAGAGGAACACCUGAGGUGAAGACGGGUUGCUGGGCUGACAC
rnacentral:rRNA from 1 species